rnacentral:rRNA from 1 species
AAAAUUUUAAAAGUUGAACAAACUUACUUCUUUAAUUUUUAUUUUAAAAAGUUAAUUUAAUUCAACAUCGAGGUAAUAAUCUAAAUUUUUAAUUUAAUCUAUUAAAUUUAAUUAUC